rnacentral:rRNA from 1 species
UGGGGAAUCUUAGACAAUGGGUGAAACCCUGAUCUAGCCAUGCCGCGUGAGUGACGAAGGCCUUAGGGUCGUAAAGCUCUUUCGCCAGGGAUGAUAAUGACAGUACCUGGUAAAGAAACCCCGGCUAACUCCGUGCCAGCAGCCGCGGUAAUACGGAGGGGGUUAGCGUUGUUCGGAAUUACUGGGCGUAAAGCGCACUUAGGCGGACUAUUAAGUCAGGGGUGAAAUCCCGGGGCUCAACCCCGGAACUGCCUUUGAUACUGGUAGUCUUGAGUUCGAGAGAGGUGAGUGGAAUUCCGAGUGUAGAGGUGAAAUUCGUAGAUAUUCGGAGGAACACCAGUGGCGAAGGCGGCUCACUGGCUCGAUACUGACGCUGAGGUGCGAAAGCGUGGGGAGCAAACAGGAUUAGAUACCCGUGUAGUCC